rnacentral:rRNA from 1 species
AUGGCAAAGCGUAACGAGCUGUCUCUCUUGGUGCUCGUGGCCAUGGCCGUUGUCGUCUUCCUCUCCGUGCAGGUGAAGUCGGAGGUGGCUGCCGGCAGCUACACCACAGAGAUGCAGGAAGCUGUGAGGAAUGAAGUGAAGGCCUUCCCCGACCUCCGUCCCGGCCUUAUCCGGCUCUUGUUCCACGACUGCUUUGUCAAUGGUUGCGAUGGAUCCGUGCUGCUGGAGACCUCGCGCAUCAACGGCACCGAUGGGAAGACGGAGAUGACGUCGGCCUUCAACGGCGGCCUCCGUGGCUUAGAGGUGAUCCAGAACAUCAAGAAGAACCUCGGGACCAAAUACAACAUCACCUGCACCGACGCCGUCAUCUACGCGGCGCGCGAGGCGGUCUACCUGCUGAGCAAGGGCAAAAUCGCCUACAACGUCACCGGACCGGGCCGCAUGGACGGCGUCAUCUCCAGAUCAGAGGACCCGGCAAAAUUCCUUCCAACCCCCAGCUUCACCUUCGACCAGCUCAAAGAAAGCUUCCGGAACAAGAGCUUGAGCACGGACGAUGUCAUCGCCCUCUCCGGCGCGCACGCGAUAGGCGUCGCUCACAGAAUGUUCGUCGACGUCAAUACUCUUGAUACCCCCGUAUCGUACCAAAAGGCCGUCGCGGUCGAACUGAGUAAUGGUACGGACGUGAUCAAGAACAACGUCCGCGACUUCGGCGCGGCCUCCGGUUACAUGGACAACAACAAGGAGAGAAUGGAGGCGAAGGGCGUCCUGGACAACAGCUUCUACAACGCCAUCAGCCAGAAGAUGGCGCUUUUCCCAUCCGACAGGGUGCUGUGGGAGGGCGCCAAGGCCAAGGUGACCGGCUAUAAGGAUAAAGCCGACACGUGGUACAUAGAGUUCGGCAACUCCAUGGAAAAGCUCAGCAAGCUCCCCGCCACGAGCGACCCUUCCAAGAUCGAGAUCAGGGAGGUGUGCAGUAAGACCAACUAG